rnacentral:lncRNA from 1 species
UAAGAACCACCUUGCACACACAACGAACACAGUUCCACAGAAAAAGUCAAGAUUGAUUCCGAUCCCACAAUAUUUCAGAGGGAAAAGGAAGCAUAAAACCAUGCUGGACACCAUGUGCCUCAAACAUUACUUAAUUAGUGGAAUUCUGAAGCAACUCAUGAACACGUAUUAAGCAACAUCGAUCUCCAGAAGUUCCAAUUCAUAUACUUACACAAGAAAAGGUAGCUUAUAUUAGCUUACAUGCACAAAAUGGAAUCAAUAUUAAUAAAAUUGUAAUUGUUUAUUUAUCAUCCAAUGUAUAUAUUUUGUCAUAUGUGUUUGUUAGUUACUACAAUAUAUUUUGUCAUGUGUUUGUUUAAUAUUCUAAGACAAAAGAAUUUUUAUGGUGUUUGGAAUUUUUUUUAAUUUUAAUAGAUAAAAACUAUUUUAUAUUUGGAUAACUUUUUUUUUUAAAUUUUUAGAUACUAAAAACGUCAAUAAUAAUCCUUAUAUUUUAAAAAUUUAGGUACAUAAAGUAAGUUUUAUUUAAAAAAUUAAUUACACUAUUUGUAAACUAUGAUUGAUGAGUAUUGUUAUGCAUGUAGUUUAACUGUUUAAGCAAAUAUAAAAUUAUUAGGGUAAUGGAGCUGCAGACCACGGCGGUCAGGAAGCCUGAAAAGCAAAGGAAAUCUUUAUUAGUGGCUUAAGCAGGACAUCAUGUAGUAGUGAGAUUCAUAUUAUAUUUUAAUUUCAAAGUUAAUUAUAAUGAUUAACGAAUCUAUAAUCUCUCUCCCCUCUUUUAAUAUUGUAGUGCUUAUUGGGCUUUCUUUUUUUAGCAAUAUAAAAUUUUACUUCUCACACUUAACUUUUUUAAUAUACAAUGAAUUUUCUACUCCCCAAAACACAAUCUGAUCUGAUCUGCUUGCCAUACUUAUAAAGUAGAACUAUGAGUAUCCUAAUUAUAUUCUAACAAUGAGUAUUGAAAAAAUAUUUAGCAACUUUGAACAUUUUACCUCAUAUAUCCUAAUAGUGAUUAUGCAGGAGGAGUAAAUUAUUUUAAUAAUUAAAUUUAAUCAAGUUGAUUUAAUGAUUUAUUGACAUAAUAAAAAAUUAAUUAUGUCGAAUAUGCAUAUUUUUCAUAUAAUUAAAUUGAAUGUAAGACUUAUUUUAUAUUGAUUUAUACAAAGAAAAUAUGAGUAUUAAUAAUCAACAAUAAUCCUUUGAAAUAGUUGAUAUGUAAUUAUGUAUGAUUCAUUGUGGAAUCAAGCUGCCUUAUUAUCCAAUGGUGUUAAUUAUCACAUUCAUUAUAAAAAUUAAAUUGUAAAAGUUUGACCAUGAUAAUGACUAUCUAAAGAAAUAUAUUAUUUAAUUAGUAUAAGCUAUCUUCUCGAAGGAGUUAAAGUUACAACAAAUAGAAUGGUAAAGAUUUAUUUUAUUUUAUUUUCUCCCACAAUUCUGAUUCCUUCCCUCCGCCAACUCAUUGGUGGUAAAUCUUUUCGUCCACUUUUGUUCCAACAUAAAAAUUCAAGUGCAGUCAAUUUUAUGUGAAGUUGAUAGUUAAAUACUAUUAAAUAAUUUAAAUGAUUUGACUAAAUUUUUAUGUAAUGUAAAUUUAACUGUAUCUAAAUUUUUACCUUAUUACAAUGUUAUAACAAAUUAAAGUUCCUUUUAAAAAGAAUAAAACUCUAGCACGCAGCACUUAAAGCUGGCUAUAAUAUAAAAAUACAUAAAUAAAUAAAACUCUUGUUCAAUUAACCAAUUGUUUAGUAAAUUAUAGUUUAAAUUUGAAUCUAUAUAUAAUGUAUUAAUCUUCAUUAUGUGGAUGUAUCCUAAUUCACAUGCAACCUCUCCAACCUUAAAUGCUAAAGUAGUUGAAGCCUCUUAUGUUCUUUUAUAACAAAGUUUUUUUUUUUCCCUUCUCUCCCUUAAUCUCCUUCAAUAAUUCCCUGUCCAAAUCUAUAUCCAUAUCUAACCCUCUUUCUAAAAGUACCAAAGAGUGAUGAGUGAGACAUGCAUAAUAAUAUGAUGACCAUCAAGAUCUGAGAAAUAUUAUAAUAUAUCUUCCCAAAGAUAUGGAGGAAGGGAUCAUCAAGAAAAAUGGAUCUUCAAAACAAGACUUGAAUAGUAGUUCAUCAAAGAAGAAUAAGGGUGCUCUCUGUCUUGGCACCUCUAAGAAUAAUAAUGUUAGUGAGAAAGGGCAUCAUCAUAAUCAUCAGGGUGCUAGGAAUAGUGGUGUUGAUGCUGGUAGGUUUCAAAGAGCAGAAGAAUCUCUCAGAACUGUUAUGUAUUUGAGUUGCUGGGGUCCUAACUAAGAGACCCUUCUUUCAAUUUUCAAGAAUGGUGCUUUAAUUUCUUCUAGCUAGCUACAAAUUUUGUUAUGUCACUCCCUUCUUAUUAAUGGUUCUAUUUUCUACUACUUUUUUGUUGGCUGAUUUUCUGUAAAAAUAUGCAUCAGCUUCUGAACUUUUAGUACUCUACAUGUACAUAGAGCUUGUAAUUGCCGAGUAAAAUUAUAUCUAUAUGAUAAUCUUCUUUUGUUUAAUUAAGGUGUUUGAUUAUCUUUAUUUCUUAGCA